UGGGGAAUAUUGGACAAUGGGCGCAAGCCUGAUCCAGCCAUGCCGCGUGUGUGAAGAAGGCCUUUUGGUUGUAAAGCACUUUAAGCGCGGAGGAGGCUACUUGGAUUAAUACUCUAGGAUAGUGGACGUUACUCGCAGAAUAAGCACCGGCUAACUCUGUGCCAGCAGCCGCGGUAAUACAGAGGGUGCGAGCGUUAAUCGGAUUUACUGGGCGUAAAGCGUGCGUAGGCGGCUUCUUAAGUCGGAUGUGGAAUCCCUGAGCUUAACUUAGGAAGUGCAUUCGAUACUGGGAAGCUAGAGUAUGGGAGAGGAUGGUAGAAUUCCAGGUGUAGCGGUGAAAUGCGUAGAGAUCUGGGGGAAUACCGGUGGCGAAGGCAGCCAUCUGGCCUAAUACUGACGCUGAGGUACGAAAGCAUGGGGAGCAAACAGG
rnacentral:rRNA from 1 species